GGGGGGAGGCCGGAUCCGGGGCUGUGUCCCGGAGCCCAGUGCUCCCGGGCCUGCGCUGGUGGAUUCGCGCUCCCGGCGGCGCAGCCCCCU
rnacentral:pre_miRNA from 1 species